rnacentral:tRNA from 1 species
GCCCCCGUAGCUCAAUUGGUAGAGCAAUUCCCUUUUAAGGAAGUGGUUCCGCGUUCGAGUCGCGGCGGGGGCACAA